GAAAUGAUGAGCAUGGAGCUGGUGACCCAAAAGGAGAAAAGGGUGAAACUGGACUACCCGGAUUUCCAGGGUCUGUUGGUCCUAAAGGACAAAAAGGAGAACCUGGGGACUCUUUUACAAAAGGUGAAAAGGGAGAUAGAG